AAAGGUCCCAUGUGAACAGCAGUUGAACAAGGGUCAGUCGGUCCUGAGAGAUGGGUGAGCACCCUUCCAAAGAGACAGGAGAUGGCCUCGUUGCCUUCCACCAAUUAAAAGGGAGUCGGGUUCAGAUCCUGGAAUCUGGAGUGGCAGAGAUGGGCACUGUGAGGUGUCCAGUAUGGUAAUUGUGCUUGAUCCCAGAGAAGUGGGCAGGAACCCCAGAGAGAGUUCUCUUUUCUUUGUGAAUGGCAGGGCUGCCCUGGAAUAGAUUGACCCCGAGAGAGGGAACCAUGCCUUGGAAAGUAUUGCAGUUCUGGCAGUGUCUAGUGACAAAAAAUAAUAAUAAUAAUAAUAAUAAAAAUAAAUGAAUAAAUAAAUUAAUU
rnacentral:rRNA from 1 species